rnacentral:lncRNA from 10 species
CAGACCAACAGCAGCAGCAGCAGCGGCGGCGGCGGCAGCAGCAGCAGCAGCAUUAGCAGCAGCAGCUUCUCUCAAUGCUGAGUAUUGAAUACAGAUAAUCAUGAGGCCCAAGACCCUAAGGAACAGUGCAGCCAGGAGUCGGAAGGAGCCUGGGUUUCUGAAUCAUCACAUGGAGGGGAGCUGUCUUCAGCUGGGAGAGCUGUCUUCAGUUGGAUACUGGAUGGAGUCUCACUCUGUCACCCAGGCUGGAGUGCAGUGGUGCAGUUUCGGCUCACUGCAACCUCCGCCUCCCAGGUUCAAGCCAUUCUCCUGCCUCAGCCUCCCGAGUAGCUGGGAUUACAGGAGGAAGAAAGGGAGCUGGUUAGGAAGCAAACUUGAGUUUCCCAUGCUCUGUGGCUGAGCAAGUCACUUCACCAUUCUCAGGAUGGAAGUGGGGAUGGAGGUGGCAUCGGCCUCAUUUGAACCACAUGGACUAAGAGGGGCUAUGGGAGUAUUCCCCAAAGGAAGACUGAGGGGCGUUACUAGAAAAUGGGAGAAUGGAAGCAGAGUGGGCAAAACCAACAGAUGUUCCCUAUAGUAAAUAAAAAAUUUGGACAAUUAUUAGUGAGCAAGUACUUAUAACAUAUAUGGCACAUGGGAUUGUGACUCACCAGUGUGUUAGCACAAUAUGGUCAAAAACCUCUGAUCCAAUUCAACCUACUCAUCUUAACGAUUUUAUCAGCAUUUAAUAAGUUUGUUUUGGCCAUCAUGUGUUAUAGUUUUGUUUGUGGUUUUGACACCUCAUUAGAGGUUUCAUCAGUGUAAGGAGCCAACCUAAGAGCUCUUCUCACAAGUUUCCCAAGAGAGAAAUUGCCCCUCCAAAUGUGAGGAGUCUCACUUUAUAUAGAUAGCAUCCACACUUCUUGCAGUGGAAAACAAACCUUAUAAAAUGUAAUACGUUUGGUUUCCUAACUUUUUCAUGACCCUGGGGUGGUAGAAGGAAGUGCAAGUUUUAUCACUUGGAUUUAGAGACAAGGAAAUUGAAAUGGAGAGAGAAUUGGGCUCACAUGCAGGCAGCAUGUCUAGCUGCCUCCAUCGUGUGAUCUGAGGCACCCCAUGAGGCCUAUGAUUACUGUAAACCUCUAAAAUAAAUAAAAAAUAAAACAAU